rnacentral:rRNA from 1 species
UACGUAGGGUCCGAGCGUUGUCCGGAAUUAUUGGGCGUAAGGGCUCGUAGGCGGUUCGUCACGUCGGGAGUGAAAACUCGGAGCUUAACUCCGAGCCUGCUUCCGAUACGGGCAGACUAGAGGUAGGCAGGGGAGAGCGGAACUCCUGGUGUAGCGGUGGAAUGCGCAGAUAUCAGGAAGAACACCGGUGGCGAAGGCGGCUCUCUGGGCCUACCUGACGCUGAGGAGCGAAAGCGUGGUAGCGAACAGG